GACGAACGCUGGCGGCGUGCUUAACACAUGCAAGUCGAACGCUGAAGCUCAGCUUUUGUUGGGUGGAUGAGUGGCGAACGGGUGAGUAACACGUGAGUAACCUGCCCCCUUCUUUGGGAUAACGCCCGGAAACGGGUGCUAAUACUGGAUAUUCACUGGUCUUCGCAUGGGGGUUGGUGGAAAGGGUUUUUCUGGUGGGGGAUGGGCUCGCGGCCUAUCAGCUUGUUGGUGGGGUGAUGGCCUACCAAGGCUUUGACGGGUAGCCGGCCUGAGAGGGUGACCGGUCACAUUGGGACUGAGAUACGGCCCAGACUCCCACGGGAGGCAGCAGUGGGGAAUAUUGCACAAUGGGCGCAAGCCUGAUGCAGCGACGCCGCGUGAGGGAUGGAGGCCUUCGGGUUGUGAACCUCUUUCGCUCAUGGUCAAGCCGCAACAAUGGUUGUGGUGAGGGUAGUGGGUAAAGAAGCGCCGGCUAACUACGUG
rnacentral:rRNA from 1 species